rfam:Crassostrea gigas strain 05x7-T-G4-1.051#20 contig12215, whole genome shotgun sequence.
GUCUCAAUAGCUCAGUGGUUAGAGCGCUGGCAUGGUACGCCAGAGGCCCUGGGUUCGAGUCCUGGUUGAGACU